UGCCUUUGUGUUGCCCUUUCAGUGUCUCCAUCCUGAAUGGGGUGUCAUCCAAGGCAUACAUAGACUCUUGUGGUUGUCCAUGAGUUGUCAUUUAUGAUUCCUCUGACAGGAGCUGCUGCAAGGACAUGU
rnacentral:snoRNA from 1 species